AUACGGAUUCUUAACGUCGMAAGACGAAAAAUGAAUACCAAGUCUCAAGAGUGAACACGUAAUUCAUUACGAAGUUUAAUUCUUUGAGCAUCAAACUUUUAAAUUGAAGAGUUUGAUCAUGGCUCAGAUUGAACGCUGGCGGCAACGUCGCAAGACCAAAGAGGGGGACCUUCGGGCCUCUUGCCAUCGGAUGUGCCCAGAUGGGAUUAGCUAGUAGGUGGGGUAACGGCUCACCUAGGCGACGAUCCCUAGCUGGUCUGAGAGGAUGACCAGCCACACUGGAACUGAGACACGGUCCAGACUCCUACGGGAGGCAGCAGUGGGGAAUAUUGCACAAUGGGCGCAAGCCUGAUGCAGCCAUGCCGCGUGUAUGAAGAAGGCCUUCGGGUUGUAAAGUACUUUCAGCGGGGAGGAAGGGAGUAAAGUUAAUACCUUUGCUCAUUGACGUUACCCGCAGAAGAAGCACCGGCUAACUCCGUGCCAGCAGCCGCGGUAAUACGGAGGGUGCAAGCGUUAAUCGGAAUUACUGGGCGUAAAGCGCACGCAGGCGGUUUGUUAAGUCAGAUGUGAAAUCCCCGGGCUCAACCUGGGAACUGCAUCUGAUACUGGCAAGCUUGAGUCUCGUAGAGGGGGGUAGAAUUCCAGGUGUAGCGGUGAAAUGCGUAGAGAUCUGGAGGAAUACCGGUGGCGAAGGCGGCCCCCUGGACGAAGACUGACGCUCAGGUGCGAAAGCGUGGGGAGCAAACAGGAUUAGAUACCCUGGUAGUCCACGCCGUAAACGAUGUCGACUUGGAGGUUGUGCCCUUGAGGCGUGGCUUCCGGAGCUAACGCGUUAAGUCGACCGCCUGGGGAGUACGGCCGCAAGGUUAAAACUCAAAUGAAUUGACGGGGGCCCGCACAAGCGGUGGAGCAUGUGGUUUAAUUCGAUGCAACGCGAAGAACCUUACCUGGUCUUGACAUCCACGGAAGUUUUCAGAGAUGAGAAUGUGCCUUCGGGAACCGUGAGACAGGUGCUGCAUGGCUGUCGUCAGCUCGUGUUGUGAAAUGUUGGGUUAAGUCCCGCAACGAGCGCAACCCUUAUCCUUUGUUGCCAGCGGUCCGGCCGGGAACUCAAAGGAGACUGCCAGUGAUAAACUGGAGGAAGGUGGGGAUGACGUCAAGUCAUCAUGGCCCUUACGACCAGGGCUACACACGUGCUACAAUGGCGCAUACAAAGAGAAGCGACCUCGCGAGAGCAAGCGGACCUCAUAAAGUGCGUCGUAGUCCGGAUUGGAGUCUGCAACUCGACUCCAUGAAGUCGGAAUCGCUAGUAAUCGUGGAUCAGAAUGCCACGGUGAAUACGUUCCCGGGCCUUGUACACACCGCCCGUCACACCAUGGGAGUGGGUUGCAAAAGAAGUAGGUAGCUUAACCUUCGGGAGGGCGCUUACCACUUUGUGAUUCAUGACUGGGGUGAAGUCGUAACAAGGUAACCGUAGGGGAACCUGCGGUUG
rnacentral:rRNA from 1 species